CCUACGGGUGGCAGCAGUGAGGAAUAUUGGUCAAUGGACGAGAGUCUGAACCAGCCAAGUAGCGUGAAGGAUGACUGCCCUAUGGGUUGUAAACUUCUUUUAUAAAGGAAUAAAACGAGGCACGUGUGCCUUUUUGCAUGUACUUUAUGAAUAAGGAUCGGCUAACUCCGUGCCAGCAGCCGCGGUAAUACGGAGGAUGCGAGCGUUAUCCGGAUUUAUUGGGUUUAAAGGGUGCGCAGGCGGCGUGUCAAGCAAGCGGUAAAAUAGCGGGGCUCAACCCCGUCGAGCCGUUUGAACUGGCGCGCUUGAGUUCAGGCGAGGUAGGCGGAAUUCGUGGUGUAGCGGUGAAAUGCUUAGAUAUCACGAAGAACCCCGAUUGCGAAGGCAGCUUACUAAACUGUGACUGACAUUGAUGCUCGAAAGUGUGGGUAUCAAACAGGAUUAGAUACCCUAGUAGUC
rnacentral:rRNA from 1 species